GUACUCAAUUUAGCAGCCUAUAUACUAAAAUUGGAAUGAUACAGAGAAGAUUAGCAUGGUCCCUGCUCAAGAAUAACAUACAAAUUCAUGACAUGUUUCAUUUUUUC
ensembl:snRNA U6 U6 spliceosomal RNA